CGGCCGCGUCGACGAAAUACUUAGUGGCGGACGGGUGAGUAACGCGUGAGAAUCUGCCUUCAGGACGGAGACAACAGUUGGAAACGACUGCUAAGCCCCGAUGAACCGAAAGGGGGCAACUUGUUGCUCUCGCUAUUAGAUGAGCCUAAGUCGGAUAGCUAGAUGGUGGGGUAAAGGCCUACCAUGGCGACGAUCUGUAGCUGGUCUGAGAGGAUGAUCAGCCACACCGGGACUGAGACACCGGCCCGGACUCCGUACGGGAGGCAGCAGGUGGGGAAUAUUGGACAAGUGGGGGCCAACCCUGAUCCAGCCAUGCCGCGUGUGUGAAGAAGGUCCUUUUGGUUGUAAAGCUACUUUAAGCAGUGAAGAAGACUCUAUGGUUAACUACCCAUAGACGAUGACAUU
rnacentral:rRNA from 1 species